ACGAACGCUGGCGGCGUGCCUAAUACAUGCAAGUUGAGCGCUGAAGGUUGGUACUUGUACCAACUGGAUGAGCAGCGAACGGGUGAGUAACGCGUGGGGAAUCUGCCUUUGAGCGGGGGACAACAUUUGGAAACGAAUGCUAAUACCGCAUAAAAACUUUAAACACAAGUUUUAAGUUUGAAAGAUGCAAUUGCAUCACUCAAAGAUGAUCCCGCGUUGUAUUAGCUAGUUGGUGAGGUAAAGGCUCACCAAGGCGAUGAUACAUAGCCGACCUGAGAGGGUGAUCGGCCACAUUGGGACUGAGACACGGCCCAAACUCCUACGGGAGGCAGCAGUAGGGAAUCUUCGGCAAUGGACGAAAGUCUGACCGAGCAACGCCGCGUGAGUGAAGAAGGUUUUCGGAUCGUAAAACUCUGUUGGUAGAGAAGAACGUUGGUGAGAGUGGAAAGCUCAUCAAGUGACGGUAACUACCCAGAAAAGGACGGCUAACUACGUG
rnacentral:rRNA from 1 species